GCCGGGGUGGCAGAGCGGACAAUUCUUCUGGCCUCAUGGCCAGGGGAGUUCAUACGCGGCAGGCUCGAGACCUGUUGUCCCUUCCAGGGACGCUUGGGUUCAAAUCCCAACCCCGGCG
rnacentral:tRNA from 1 species